UUGGAUCCUGAGACCAUCUAUAAGAGAACAGUUGCCUUCUCCAGGUCAGCUCCUGAAAGCCCAGUGUUCCAGUAUGGGAGGCCGAAGAUGGAAUCAGUCGAGGGAAACACCAAGGAAAAGGAAAUGGUGGUAGCUUCUGGGGAUAAUGAAGUUGCUCGUCCAGUUGCUCCUCCCAAGAGAGAAAGGGCUGAGAGAAGAAGUUCAAGAUUUGAAAGGAAGAAAGAUGAACCAUUAGAGUUGGUGGGUGGAGGAGUGGUUGUUGAGAAAACCUUGGGGGUAGAUGAACUUGCCAAGCUGCUGGCAUAAACUGUUCCAUGUUUGUAAGUCCACUUUUAUGCAUUGGUACCACUGGGUAGAUGCUGAAGUAACUUUGCCACUUCUCUCAAUAAUUGGCUACACUUAUGUUGUCGUUGUUGUUAAAACAAUUUCGUAGUCCUUGGAACUCUGCAUCGACACUCAUGUCGCCGCCGUUGGGCUUCUGCUCCAGUCAAUAGUCAUCAGACCUCCUUCGUUGGAAAUCCACAGUCGAACUUCCAUCGAUCCCGUUGGAACGCUAUUGUUGUCGUUAGAAUUCUAUUAAUCUCGUUGGACCUCUACUGUUGCCGUUCGAAC
rnacentral:lncRNA from 1 species